rnacentral:rRNA from 1 species
AUUGAACGCUGGCGGCCGGCCUAACACAUGCAAGUCGAACGAGUGGCGGACGGGUGAGUAAUGUCUGGGAAAAUGCCUGAUGGAGGGGGAUAACUACUGGUAACGGUAGCUAAUACCGCAUACCAUCGGAUGUGCCCAGAUGGGAUUAGCUUGUUGGUGGGGUAACGGAUCACCAAGGCGACUAUCCCUAGCUGGUCUGAGAGGAUGAACAGCCACACUGGAACUGAGACACGGUCCAGACUACUACGAGAGGCAGCAGUGGGGAAUAUUGCACAAUGGGCGCAAGCCUGAUGCAGCCAUGCCGCGUGUAUGAAGAAGGCCUUCGGGUUGUAAAGUACUUUCAGCGGGGAGGCGUUACCCGCAGAAGAAGCACCGGCUAACGCCGUGCCAGCAGCCGCGGUAAUAC